rnacentral:sRNA from 1 species
GUGGUCAGUCACUGCUGGUUGGGGAAGGAAGGAGAGACACAACCGUUUCAGAUGGACAGUGACAAGGACAAUAGAAAGGCCAGGACACCACGGAAGUUCUGAAGAGGUAGUGGGAACUGGGUGAAUGGAAAGCAGCCCUUUGACAGAAGAAAGACAGAGACCAGUUUCCAGUGAGCUCCCGAGGAUAUUCAGGUCUGUGCUUCUGCCUGACUGAGGAUCAUCUAGGAAAUGAAACUAAACUUGGCUUUGACCUAGACCUUGUGUGACCUUGAGGUCAUCAUCCUCUCACAGUCACCCUAGAGAAUCCUUUACUUACCUAUGCUGAAAAAAAUGCUCCCAUCAGUUACCCUAUGAUUAGGUCUCCAGCCCUUUCAUCAGAAGACAGAGCUUUAAAAUGCAGGGGCUGGUGAGGGUCAGCACUAGUGGUGAGAAUUCUGGAGAACAUUUUCUUUACCCAGAAACUUAAAAUCAUGGACUCUUGGGGAGAAAGGAAUGAGAAAAGGCAGCAUGCGGAAUUACCAGUUUGUUAUUUGGUUCCCAUCUGGAUUUAAAACCGAAGAUCCCAAACUCAGAUUGAUCUGGAGCCAGAAGGAAGAGUGUAUGUGAUCAUCGAUCUCUCAGGGUCGUCGGGUGAAGUGAAAAUACCUAACUCUGCAUUCUGUGAAAGGGAGAGAGUUGAAAUGAGGCACAGCUGAAGUUUCACCACUCCAUUAUUCUGCCAUCAAGCAUCCCUUCAGCUCCCAUCUCUCAAAUGCUGCAGCCCCAUCAAUGGAAAAAAAUACAUUCAUGGGAAUUGCACAAAGUUUACAACACAUGCAAAUUCCAAGGAGCUCAGAGAGAGGUGUGGGGGUGAGAUGGUGUGACUACACCCACUUCUUCUAGGAUGCGCCGAAGGAUUCUUUUCCUUGCUCAUAUGCUGUUAGAAAGCAUGGGCGUUUACGUCUGCUAGAGCUGGAGCUAAUGUGAUUUCUAACUGUCUAAUAAAAUUCCACUGCUUGCA